rnacentral:rRNA from 1 species
UACGGAGGGUGCAAGCGUUAUCCGGAAUUACUGGGUUUAAAGGGUGCGUAGGCGGCCUGGUAAGUCAGGGGUGAAAGGUCACGGCUCAACCGUGGAAUUGCCUUUGAUACUGCGGGGCUUGAAUCAGGCUGAGGUCAGCGGAAUGUGGCAUGUAGCGGUGAAAUGCAUAGAUAUGCCAUAGAACACCGAUUGCGAAGGCAGCUGGCUAGACCUUGAUUGACGCUGAGGCACGAAAGCGUGGGGAGCGAACAGG